rnacentral:rRNA from 1 species
UACGUAGGGUGCAAGCGUUGUCCGGAAUUAUUGGGCGUAAAGAGCUCGUAGGCGGUCUGUCGCGUCGGCUGUGAAAUCCCGAGGCUCAACCUCGGGUCUGCAGUCGAUACGGGCAAACUGGAGUGUUGCAGGGGAGACUGGAAUUCCUGGUGUAGCGGUGAAAUGCGCAGAUAUCAGGAGGAACACCGGUGGCGAAGGCGGGUCUCUGGAACGGUACUGACGCUGAGACGCGAAAGCGUGGGGAGCGAACAGG